GAUGAACGCUGGCGGCGUGCUUAACACAUGCAAGUCGAGCGAAGCAGUUAAGUUGAUUUCUUCGGAUUGAUUCUUAACUGACUGAGCGGCGGACGGGUGAGUAACGCGUGGGUGACCUGCCCCAUACCGGGGGAUAACAGCUGGAAACGGCUGCUAAUACCGCAUAAGCGCACAGAGCUGCAUGGCUCGGUGUGAAAAACUCCGGUGGUAUGGGAUGGGCCCGCGUCUGAUUAGGCAGUUGGCGGGGUAACGGCCCACCAAACCGACGAUCAGUAGCCGGCCUGAGAGGGCGACCGGCCACAUUGGGACUGAGACACGGCCCAAACUCCUACGGGAGGCAGCAGUGGGGAAUAUUGCACAAUGGGGGAAACCCUGAUGCAGCGACGCCGCGUGAGCGAAGAAGUAUUUCGGUAUGUAAAGCUCUAUCAGCAGGGAAGAUAAUGACGGUACCUGACUAAGAAGCCCCGGCUAACUACGUGCCAGCAGCCGCGGUAAUACGUAGGGGGCAAGCGUUAUCCGGAUUUACUGGGUGUAAAGGGAGCGUAGACGGCAAGGCAAGUCUGAUGUGAAAACCCAGGGCUUAACCCUGGGACUGCAUUGGAAACUGUCUGGCUCGAGUGCCGGAGAGGUAAGCGGAAUUCCUAGUGUAGCGGUGAAAUGCGUAGAUAUUAGGAAGAACACCAGUGGCGAAGGCGGCUUACUGGACGGUAACUGACGUUGAGGCUCGAAAGCGUGGGGAGCAAACAGGAUUAGAUACCCUGGUAGUCCACGCCGUAA
rnacentral:rRNA from 1 species